AGAGGCUCCUUCUUUUCAGCUGCUUCAUUUCUCCCAGGCAGUGACAGAGCUCUGAGGCCCUCCCCGGCCUCCCCUGAGUAAACAUAUGCAUGGGUAUAACAGGAGGACCAGAGACCUGGAGUAACCUGAGGAAUGCGAGUGAUCUUAUCUAAUGGGAAUGCUGCUGUUCUCUCCGUCUUUACCAUGAAGUCCUUUUGGAUGAGGCUUACCAUCCAUACCCAAUGGACCCUGGCAGAGAAAAAGACAGAAAGAGGAGAGUAGAUUGGGAGAAACCGGGCAUUAAUAUGUGAAAAGGUUCCACAGUGAUGAUGGCUCAUGUUUCACUCCUUACGGGAAUCAUACCAGCAACCUCACCAACUCUUCGCCUUAACUACUACACCACACCACCCAUCAGGGGCUCCAAACAUUGGAAAUCCGGUGAGGGCCACAUGUGGUGGAGUCCUGCACACAGUCCAGUUUGGAGCAGUUCUCUUGUUAUCCUUGGAGAUACUUCACACAGGCCGAUAUUUCCCAGUUGAUCUUCAUGCAGCACAGAGGCUGCCAAUGCAUGCAACUGAUCACAUCUGGAUCGUGCCGACUUGUCAGA